GACAGGGGGUGCAAACGUUGUUCGGAAUUACUGGGCGUAAAGCGUGUGUAGGCGGUCCGAUAAGUCGGGUGUGAAAGCCCUGGGCUCAACCCAGGAAGUGCACUCGAAACUGCCGGGCUAGAGUAUCGGAGAGGUUGGUGGAAUUCUCGGUGUAGAGGUGAAAUUCGUAGAUAUCGAGAGGAACACCGGUGGCGAAGGCGGCCAACUGGACGAAUACUGACGCUGAGACACGAAAGCGUGGGGAGCAAACAGG
rnacentral:rRNA from 1 species